rnacentral:rRNA from 1 species
GUCACUUAUAGAUGGACCCGCGCCGUAUUAGCUAGUUGGUAAGGUAACGGCUUACCAAGGCGACGAUACGUAGCCGACCUGAGAGGGUGAUCGGCCACACUGGGACUGAGAUACGGCCCAGACUCCUACGGGAGGCAGCAGUGGGGAAUAUUGGACAAUGGGCGAAAGCCUGAUCCAGCCAUGCCGCGUGUGUGAAGAAGGCUUUCGGGUUGUAAAGCACUUUCAGUGAGGAGGAAAACUCUGCGACUAAUACUCGUAGGGCUUGACGUUACUCACAGAAGAAGCACCGGCUAACUCCGUGCCAGCAGCCGCGGUAAUACGGAGGAUGCAAGUGUUAUCCGGAAUCACUGGGCGUAAAGCGUCUGUAGGUGGUUUAAUAAGUCAACUGUUAAAUCUUGAAGCUCAACUUCAAAAUCGCAGUCGAAACUAUUAGACUAGAGUAUAGUAGGGGUAAAGGGAAUUUCCAGUGGAGCGGUGAAAUGCGUAGAGAUUGGAAAGAACACCGAUGGCGAAGGCACUUUACUGGGCUAUUACUGACACUCAGAGACGAAAGCUAGGGUAGCAAAUGGGAUUAGAUACCCCAGUAGUCCUAGCCGUAAACGAUGGAUACUAGGUGCUGUGCGUAUC